UGCAGGGACAGCAAUUGCACAUAUGUGUCAGCAGACUUCUCCAGACCUGAGACCUACUCAACGAUCUACAAAGAGAACAGGGAAUUUAGAAAGAGUAAGAGUUUAUUUGGCUCACAGUUCUGGAAGCUGAAAGUUCAAGAGCACAGUGAGAUCCCUCACUAUAAUGCUGAGUUUGAAGGCUUGAUUGGGGGAGGAACUGAGGAUCAGAAAUGGCCCAGAGGGACGCCUUCUGUCACCCUUGGAGCGGACCUUGUGGCGAACUCCUGUUUCCUGGUAACGAGGACAUCUGGAGCCCUGUGUGGCACAAAGAUCUUGUGCCUGAGGCUGCACUCUCCUGAUUGGCAGGUCUUCAGCUCCAAGCCUCUCCCCUCCCCACGAGAGCACCCCACCGGGCUUUGUUCCCAGGAAGGAGUUGCUCAGUGGGGGAACUGGACUUCACACGCCUUUGUGCUUCCUCAGCAUCCAACCAUUCGCUCUGCAAAAAUAACAUCAUCUUCACUUUUUUGCACCAGUCCUGUGUUUUCCCCAUUUCCUUCCAGCCUUUUCUAUUUGGUCCCAUGUCUUCUUAUUGACAAAAUCAACUGGAGGUUGCUUUUUAUAACCUUUCCCAUUCUGGUUGAUUUAGCUAUUAUUGGACCAUUUUUAUUUCUUCCUAAAGUAUUCAGAUUUAAUCACAUGUUUUUCUUCUGUCUUGGCUCAAGUGUGCUAAUUACAUAGUAUUUAGUCUGUCUCAAGUUUAUUAUUAGACUUUUCGUUGUCCCUCCAUUUGCUAAAUUGCAGAGAAUUUGUAUUUUUAGGAUUUUUUUCAUUCAUGGUGUCAUUACUUGAGGAAAGCCAAAGAAACAUUGAAGAGUGGGCUUAAUUCAACAUCUCCAACUCCAGGUGUAAAAUUCUGCAUGCUGAGGAGAAGUCAGUUAGUUCUGUUUUCAUCCACGCUGUGAGCAUUGCUUCAAUAAAGCUGGCUCAGUACUAGAGUUCCCUUUUACUGGGAUGGAUGCAAAGUCAAGGGAAUUGUAAUGCUGAAAUGUGUUUUAUCAGUAGCUCUGACUUGAGACUCUUGUUUUGAACAUAAAGUUACUCAUGUGACUAAAAGCAGGAGCAUGACCUGGCCUGGUAACUGUGGCCCUGCACUCCCUUCAGGGUUCUGAUGUCAGGAGGCCGUCAACCUCAGCUACCUCCAUUGAGGGUCACCAUCUGCC
rnacentral:lncRNA from 1 species